rnacentral:rRNA from 1 species
UCGCGCGGUGGUCCCACCUGACCCCAUGCCGAACUCAGAAGUGAAACGCCGUAGCGCCGAUGGUAGUGUGGGGUCUCCCCAUGCGAGAGUAGGGAACUGCCAGGC